UGGGGAAUAUUGCACAAUGGGCGCAAGCCUGAUGCAGCCAUGCCGCGUGUGUGAAGAAGGCCUUCGGGUUGUAAAGCACUUUCAGCGGGGAGGAAGGCGGUGAGGUCAAUAACCUCAUCGAUUGACGUUACCCGCAGAAGAAGCACCGGCUAACUCCGUGCCAGCAGCCGCGGUAAUACGGAGGGUGCAAGCGUUAAUCGGAAUUACUGGGCGUAAAGCGCACGCAGGCGGUCUGUCAAGUCGGAGGUGAAAUCCCCGGGCUCAACCUGGGAACUGCAUUCGAAACUGGCAGGCUUGAGUCUUGUAGAGGGGGGUAGAAUUCCGGGUGUAGCGGUGAAAUGCGUAGAGAUCUGGAGGAAUACCGGUGGCGAAGGCGGCCCACUGGACAAAGACUGACGCUCAGGUGCGAAAGCGUGGGGAGCAAACAGG
rnacentral:rRNA from 1 species